ensembl:misc_RNA 7SK 7SK RNA
UUAUGUGAGGUAAUUUGGCUGUGAUACUUUAUACCCCCAUUAACUGCUAGGGCGCAUUCGGCUUGUGUGGCUAGUGAGUUCUGGUGCCCCCCUUCACCUCUCAUACUUGUUAGUGGGAGAAUACAGCCAGCCUUCUUUCUGCCAAGGGUAUACGAGCAGCUGUGCUCCCAUGCUCUACAACCUUCAAACAAGCUUUCAAAGGCCACCAUUAGGUAGGAAGCCAAGCUUCCAAGACUCCAGCCUCAUCCAAAUGAGGCUCUGCACAGGGUAGUCUCUGUUU